UUCCAGAGGAAUAGAGGAUAGCUUUUGCUGUUAACGUGUCUAGUUCUAUGACACAUACAUUUGUAUAGUAAUCAAGUUGAAUCGCUGACGUCGAAGAAUAGAUGAUAAAUUGAGGGACAGAGAGAAAAGCUGAUGAUUUUCUUUUUGGUGCGGCAGGAAUGUUUCAGCUUGGACAUUGUAAUGGGGUUUUUCAGUACCCAAAAUUGAGCCCACUGGUUCAUUUAAGAAGGGAGAGAACUCCGACGAAAAUGUCCUUGCAAGGACAAUCUGUUCCCUCUAGAACCCAGAGGAUAAUGGAGAGCAUUGCAGUAAGUGGUGAAGUUGGUGGUGCUGGCGGUGCAUACUCAUAUAAUGCUCUAAAGAGAUUGGACAAGAUUUGGUCUAGCAUCUGUUCUACACAAACAGUUUCCCAAGAACCACCACAAGUAGUUUCUAGUUUUCCACAUGUGUCCAGUCAUUCUGAUCUGACUGGCAAAAAAGUAGACAGAUUUGAUGUCAUAGUUUGUGGAGGCACUUUGGGGAUCUUCAUUGCCACAACAUUGAGUGCGAAAGGUCUUCGAGUCGGCAUUGUCGAAAGAAAUAUACUAAAAGGGAGGGAACAAGAAUGGAAUAUCUCAAAGAAAGAGCUUUUGGAGCUGGUAGAAGUUGGUAUUCUCACAGAGGACGAUAUUGAACAAGCUACAGCUGCGACAUUCAAUCCUAACAGAUGUGGAUUUGAGGAUAAAGGCGAAAUCUGGGUUGAAGACAUUCUUAAUCUUGGUGUUUCGCCUGUAAAGCUUAUAGAGGUUAUGAAGAAACGGUUUAUUUCUCUAGGUGGAGUCAUCUUAGAAGGCUAUAGUGUCUCCAACAUCUGUGUAUACGAGGAUGCAGCAGUCUUGCAACUUGUCGAGGGGAAUACCUUAUCAUCACGUCUUAUCAUUGAUGCAAUGGGGAACUUUUCACCCGUCGUCAAGCAGAUAAGAAGAGGAAGGAAGCCUGAUGGUGUUUGCCUUGUUGUUGGGUCCUGUGCUCGUGGUUUUAAAGAAAAUUCUACAAGUGAUGUCAUAUAUAGUAGUUCAUCUGUUAAGAAAAUUGGAGACUCGGAACUACAAUAUUUUUGGGAGGCAUUUCCAGCUGGCUCUGGUCCUAUAGAUCGUACUAUAUAUAUGUUCACCUAUGUUAAUCCUCAACCUGGAUUACCCAAAUUGGAAGACUUAUUAGAAGACUAUUGGGAUUUGAUGCCUAAAUAUCAGGGAGUUUCCCUUGAAAAUCUGGAGAUUCUGAGAGUUGUAUAUGGUAUUUUCCCUACGUAUCGUGACAGUCCGAUGCCAGCAGCAUUCAAUCGUGUCUUGCAGUUUGGUGAUGCUAGUGGCAUACAGUCACCUGUGUCAUUUGGUGGGUUUGGGAGCUUGACAAGGCAUAUCAGGAGAUUGUCAACUGGAAUAUAUGAUGCGAUUGAUGGCGAUUUUCUUGAUGCAGACAGCUUGUCCCUACUAAAUCCAUACAUGCCCAAUUUAAGUGCUUCAUGGUUAUUUCAAAAAGCAAUGUCAGCAAAGCAAAACUCUAAUGUUUCUCCAGAAUUUAUUAAUGAGCUUCUUCAUGUCAAUUUCCAGAGUAUGCAGAAGCUAGGCGAUCCAGUUUUAAGACCUUUCCUUCAGGUUAUUUGGAUGUUAUACAGUUAGAGCCUCUUGCCAAGACAUUAGGCCUUGUUAUGCUGACUAAACCUCAAAUUCUCCCUUCAAUAUUUAAGCAGGUUGGUAUUCCCGUGCUUCUGGACUGGUCCGGCCAUUUUUUUAUGCUCAGUUACUAUACUUUUUUAUCCAGCUUUGCCGACCCCGUAAUCAGACCAUUAUUACAUGUGUUUCCAUCAAAGAUUCAGUUUGAGUGGAAGCGGCAUCUUGAGGCUUGGAAAUAUGGAUCUGGUUUAGAUUACAAGCUAUGAAGAUUCAUCAAUAAGCAUGCAUUGAACUAAUGGGGAAUGAAGUGAAAAGUGUAUAGACCGGGGCCCAGUUUCAUGCACCGGUGAGUCGGAACUAAUAUGUUCAUCUUGGAUUUUGUAGCUCUUCUUGCAUCCUAUUUAAAAAUCAAUGGAACAAUCUGUGCAUCUGUUGGACCCAGGUUGAAUAUGACUCUUGUACGACUGUAUUCUGCAUGCAAAUAUUCAUCUAUUAUUCUGAUUUAUUGUACAGACAAUUUUGCAAUUGAAUUUGCUUUUUCUCAAUGAAAAUAUUUGGAAGACUUUCUUGUU